AUCCGUCAGUUUCCAAAGCAUUUUCAUGGAUCGGCGUGAACGGAUUUGCCCCUCUCCGCCUCGCACCCAAGUAGAGCUACUCUCUGGCUCUUUACCAACAGCCUAAUCGCCUCAUUAGCAUAUCAACAAUAGUCCAAUUGCUCGCCAGUACCGCGAUCCGCCGCCGGCCGCUGCGACCCAGGGCUUCGUCCUCGCCAGAGAUGCCCUCUACCAAGAGCGCUGCUCAGGGUUCCAGACGCCGUCCCUGGGGCCCCGGGUUCCAGCCCCGCUCCGCCAGCCCUGCUGUCACUAUCCGAGCUGCCCUUUCGGCCUGGUCCAAUUUUAUUAGAAAUCAUUAUCCCUUUCGCAAUUAAACAUAAUCACCAGACCAAGACCAGCGAAGUCACUCCAGGAUUUUUGGCCAACGGGACAUCGCCUCCACUCCGACAGCCACCCCCCUAGGCCUCAGCACCUCGGGAGUUUUAUAGCUUUUGCGCUUUCCCCCAGGUUGGAGAUUUUGCCAACAGCUUCAUCGUUGGACUGAGGUUUGCGAUUCCUUAAUUACCGCAUGUAAAAUAAAAGUUGUACCCUGAAGAGGUUACUUGACAGCUCCAGGGGUUAAAUGAUUUUCCUCCCGUUUAUAUGAAACUAAGGCCCGCUUGUUUAUUUCACCUGGUGUUCGGGCUUCAGUUUCCUAGGUGUGAGGUGGACCAGAAUACAGAACUCCUAUGGAGACCGCCCAGCUGCCUCUGGAAUUGAGUCUGGAGUUGAGCUGACACACAGACAUGUGUGCGCCUACGAGCCUAGAUACCGUGUUUUGCAUGCAACAAAAUAAAUCAGUGGGAACCAACUCUUCGCUGUGCUAAUCUGCUCCAGUUUUCCCAAGAUUCCCCUUUUUAAUUAAAGCAGGGAGAGUUCCUUUAUGACUUGGUGAUGUUACUAACACAGCCGCACUCUCAGCACAGUGCCGGCCGGCCGCGGGGAACCCAAGACCAGGGAGCCUCUCCUGCCCAGGCUGGCCAGUUCGGGCUCUCCCA